rnacentral:rRNA from 1 species
GAUGAACGCUGGCGGCGUGCCUAAUACAUGCAAGUCGAGCGAAUGGAUUAAGAGCUUGCUCUUAUGAAGUUAGCGGCGGACGGGUGAGUAACACGUGGGUAACCUGCCCAUAAGACUGGGAUAACUCCGGGAAACCGGGGCUAAUACCGGAUAACAUUUUGAACCGCAUGGUUCGAAAUUGAAAGGCGGCCUCGGCUGUCACUUAUGGAUGGACCCGCGUCGCAUUAGCUAGUUGGUGAGGUAACGGCGCACCAAGGCAACGAUGCGUAGCCGACCUGAGAGGGUGAUCGGCCACACUGGGACUGAGACACGGCCCAGACUCCUACGGGAGGCAGCAGUAGGGAAUCUUCCGCAAUGGACGAAAGUCUGACGGAGCAACGCCGCGUGAGUGAUGAAGGCUUUCGGGUCGUAAAACUCUGUUGUUAGGGAAGAACAAGUGCUAGUUGAAUAAGCUGACACCUUGACGGUACCUAACCAGAAAGCCACGGCUAACUACGUGCCAGCCGCCGCGGUAA